GCAGCGACAACAACCGCGGAAAGUUUGUGAAGACAGGCUUAAUGGCCAAGUCCGCGAUUACCCGCUAACACAUAUACAGAUUAGUAAAUGGAAACAAGUCCGGGAGCGUUACGACUGUGCACCGCGAAGAAUGUUUGAAAAACGGAGCGGGGACGGUGCGACGGCGUGUUUUGUCCACCGAUCACCAGACGCCUCAGCGGAGACCAAUCCUUCACAAAACAAUACGAUGGUAAAUUAAGAGGACAUCGGCAGGACAUCACAGAGCCAGAAAACCUCCGGUCCAAAUAAAGACGCAGCGAGCCCAGAAGAUGGCUGCCGUUGACACUGCCCCCCUCCAGCGGUUAGGAGACUUCAUAGAAGAGACGCGUUUAGGGCAGAUUACAUACAGCAGCUUUGGAAAUGACAUCGCCGUGUUCCUUCAGGUGGCUGCCUCCACCUGAUUCACAGAGGCUGAUGAAGGGAAUGAAGCAGCGUAUACAAUGUUAUGAAUAGACACACAGGCACUAUACUACUAAUAAGAAUAAUAUAAUGUUUGUGUUUCUGCAGUUAACUAUUAUUGCACUCCGUUUGUUCUGCCUGUCCAUUUUCCAGAAGCUUCCUUGACUGUCGAAGUCACAUUCAGCACAUGCAGUAUUUCAGCAGUUGCAUACUGACAGUGUUCCUUAGAUUGUUGCUUUCUUUUGAGUCCAAAAGUCAGACACUAUUGUUGUUAUUGUUUACGUUGUUGGCCAAUCAUACUGUUAACAAUGCACAUGUAUUUGCAUUCUCCCAGGUGACCUACUUAAUGUUUAUUUAAUGUGUGUUUAUUAUUCGUAAAGGUGCUCAUUUCAGGUCUAAAGUAUAAAGUCAAGCACUUUUUUGUUCUCGGGUGAUGUACUGAAUGUUUAUUGAGCUGUACUGUACCUGUAAUGUUUACAGUAACUCAAAUAAAAAUGUAAGAGAUGUA